rnacentral:rRNA from 1 species
UACGUAGGUGGCAAGCGUUGUCCGGAUUUACUGGGCGUAAAGAGCGCGCAGGCGGUCGUUCAAGUCGCGUGUGAAAGCCCCCGGCUCAACUGGGCAGGGUCACGCGAUACUGAUCGACUCGAAGGCAGGAGAGGGAAGUGGAAUUCCCGGUGUAGUGGUGAAAUGCGUAGAUAUCGGGAGGAACACCAGUGGCGAAGGCGACUUCCUGGCCUGUUCUUGACGCUGAGGCGCGAAAGCUAGGGGAGCAAACGGG